rnacentral:rRNA from 1 species
UCUGGUGCCAGCAGCCGCGGUAAUUCCAGCUCCAAUAGCGUAUAUUAAAGUUGUUGCAGUUAAAAAGCUCGUAGUUGGAUUUCUGGUUUGAUGCGCCUGGCCCGCCGCGGUUACGCGUGUGAGAGCCGGUUGCGCGUCGACCAUCCUUCUGGAGAGCGCGGCUAUUCUUCACUGAACUGGUCGCGCGAUCUGGAUCGUUUACUUUGAAAAAAUUAGAGUGUUCAAAGCAGGCUUGCGCUGUGAAUACAUUAGCAUGGAAUAAUGAGAUAGGACUUUGGUUCUAUUUUGUUGGUUUCUAGGACCGAACGUAAUGAUUGAUAGGGACAGUUGGGGGUGCUCGUAUUCAACGGCCAGAGGUGAAAUUCUUGGAUUCGUUGAAGACGAACUUAUGCGAAAGCAUUCACCAAGGAUGUCUUCUUUAAUCAAGAACGAAAGUUGGGGGAUCGAAGACGAUCAGAUACCGUCGUAGUCUCGACCAUAAACUAUACCGACUAGGGAUGGGCGAACGUUGCUUUUAUUCGACUUCGUCCGCACCUCAUGAGAAAUCAAAGUCUUUGGGUUCAGGGGGGAGUAUGGUCGCAAGGCUGAAACUUAAAGGAAUUGACGGAAGGGCACCACCAGGAGUGGAGCCUGCGGCUUAAUUUGACCCAACACGGGAAAACUUACCAGGUCCAGACGUAGUGAGGAUUGACAGAUUGAAGAUCUUUCUUGAUUCUAUGGGUGGUGGUGCAUGGCCGUUCUUAGUUGGUGGAGUGAUUUGUCUGGUUAAUUCCGUUAACGAACGAGACCUCGACCUGCUAACUAGGUCGGCGAACACCUCGGUGUUCGACCGGCACUUCUUAGAGGGACUAUCGGUGUUCUAGCCGAUGGAAGUUCGAGGCAAUAACAGGUCUGUGAUGCCCUUAGAUGUUCUGGGCUGCACGCGCGCUACACUGAUGCAUGCAUCGAGCUCUUCCACCUUGGCCGAGAGGUCUGGGGAAUCUUGCAAUAUGCAUCGUGCUGGGGAUAGAUUAUUGCAAUUAUUAAUCUUCAACGAGGAAUUCCUAGUAAACGCAAGUCAUCAGCUUGCAUUGAUUACGUCCCUGCCCUUUGUACACACCGCCCGUCGCUACUACCGAUUGAAUGGCUUAGUGAGCCUCACGGAUCGCGGCAGUUGGUUUGCUUUCGAGCAUCCGACAGCUGGGAAAAGUGAUGCAAACUUGACCAUUUAGAGGAAGUAAAAGUCGUAACAAGGU